rnacentral:tRNA from 10 species
GGACCCGUGGUGUAGCGGCCCAACAUGCCAGCCUGUCACGCUGGAGAUCGCCGGUUCGAAUCCGGUCGGGUCCGCCA